rnacentral:tRNA from 1 species
GCUCGCGUGGUGAAAUGGUAGACACAGCAGACUUAAAAUCUGCAGCUUGGGUUAAACCGGCGUGCCAGUUCGAGUCUGGCCGCGAGCACCA